rnacentral:rRNA from 1 species
GUAAACGGCGGCCGUAACUAUAACGGUCCUAAGGUAGCGAAAUUCCUUGUCGGGUAAGUUCCGACCUGCACGAAUGGCGUAAUGAUGGCCAGGCUGUCUCCACCCGAGACUCAGUGAAAUUGAACUCGCUGUGAAGAUGCAGUGUACCCGCGGCAAGACGGAAAGACCCCGUGAACCUUUACUAUAGCUUGACACUGAACAUUGAGCCUUGAUGUGUAGGAUAGGUGGGAGGCUUUGAAGCGUGGACGCCAGUCUGCGUGGAGCCAACCUUGAAAUACCACCCUUUAAUGUUUGAUGUUCUAACGUUGGCCCCUGACCGGGGUUGCGGACAGUGUCUGGUGGGUAGUUUGACUGGGGCGGUCUCCUCCCAAAGCGUAACGGAGGAGCACGAAGGUUAGCUAAUCCUGGUCGGACAUCAGGAGGUUAGUGCAAUGGCAUAAGCUAGCUUGACUGCGAGCGUGACGGCGCGAGCAGGUGCGAAAGCAGGUCAUAGUGAUCCGGUGGUUCUGAAUGGAAGGGCCAUCGCUCAACGGAUAAAAGGUACUCCGGGGAUAACAGGCUGAUACCGCCCAAGAGUUCAUAUCGACGGCGGUGUUUGGCACCUCGAUGUCGGCUCAUCACAUCCUGGGGCUGAAGUAGGUCCCAAGGGUAUGGCUGUUCGCCAUUUAAAGUGGUACGCGAGCUGGGUUUAGAACGUCGUGAGACAGUUCGGUCCCUAUCUGCCGUGGGCGCUGGAGAAUUGAGGGGGGCUGCUCCUAGUACGAGAGGACCGGAGUGGACGCAUCACUGGUGUUCGGGUUGUCAUGCCAAUGGCACUGCCCGGUAGCUAAAUGCGGAAGAGAUAAGUGCUGAAAGCAUCUAAGCACGAAACUUGCCCCG